AGUGAACGCUGGCGGUAGGCCUAACACAUGCAAGCCGAACGGCAGCACAGUAAGAGCUUGCUCUUACGGGUGGCGAGUGGCGGACGGGUGAGGAAUACAUCGGAAUCUACUUUUUCGUGGGGGAUAACGUAGGGAAACUUACGCUAAUACCGCAUACGACCUACGGGUGAAAGCAGGGGAUCUUCGGACCUUGCGCGAUUGAAUGAGCCGAUGUCGGAUUAGCUAGUUGGCGGGGUAAAGGCCCACCAAGGCGACGAUCCGUAGCUGGUCUGAGAGGAUGAUCGGCCACACUGGAACUGAGACACGGUCCAGACUCCUACGGGAGGCAGCAGUGGGGAAUAUUGGACAGUGGGCGCAAGCCUGAUCCAGCCAUACCGCGUGGGUGAAGGAGGCCUUCGGGUUGUAAAGCCCUUUUGUUGGGAGAGAAAAGCAGCAGGUUAAUACCCCGCUGUUCUGACGGUACCCAAAGAAUAAGCACCGGCUAACUACGUG
rnacentral:rRNA from 1 species